rnacentral:rRNA from 1 species
AUGGUGGUGGUGGAUCGCCUCACCAAAUUUGCACAUUUUGUGCCACUCCGGCAUCCCUUCACCGCAGCGCAGGUAGCUCGCGCAUUCUGGGAUUCCAUCAUCAAGCUUCAUGGGGUGCCACACUUCAUCGUCUCCGACUGCGACAAGAUCUUCACAAGUGCGAUGUGGCGGGAACUCCUUGCCGCAGCCGGCACCAAGCUCCUCUACUCCGCCGCCUACCACCCACGAACGGACGGACAAAGCGAGCACGUCAAUCAAUGCCUCGAGAUGUAUCUACGUUGUGCUGUCCAAGAUCGUCCAAAGCAAUGGCAGAAGUGGCUACCUGCUGCAAAAUUUUGGUACAACUCCACUCAUCACAGCUCUCUCAUGUGUUCUCCAUUCAAGGCACUCUACGGCCACGAGCCAAAUCUGGGAGGAUUGCCGGUUUUCCUUGACAAUAUCUCAUCAGACAUGGCCACCAGCGACUUCGACUGGGCAGCACAUACAGAAAUGCUGCAGGGCCACCUCACCCGAGCACAAGACCGCUUCAAGAAACAAGCAGACAAGCAGCGCACUGAGUGCGCCUUCACCGUCGGCGACCAAGUCCUCCUCAAGCUCCAACCUUAUGUGCAGGUAUCCGUCGCCAGCUGCCCAUGUCGGAAGCUUGCUUACAAGUACUUUGGCCGUUCACCAUCCUGGAGCGUUUCGGUGCCGUGGCGUACCGCUUGGAGCUGCCGCUGGAUAGCCGCGUCCAUCCGGUCUUCCAUGUCUCCCAGUUGA